GACGAACGCUGGCGGCGUGCUUAACACAUGCAAGUCGAACGGUAAGGCCCUUCGGGGUACACGAGUGGCGAACGGGUGAGUAACACGUGGGUGAUCUGCCCUGCACUUCGGGAUAAGCCUGGGAAACUGGGUCUAAUACCGGUUAGGACCACUGCCUGCAUGGGUGGUGGUGGAAAGCUUUUGCGGUGUGGGAUGGGCACGCGGCCUAUCAGCUUGUUGGUGGGGUGAUGGCCUACCAAGGCGACGACGGGUAGCCGGCCUGAGAGGGUGACCGGCCACACUGGGACUGAGAUACGGCCCAGACUCCUACGGGAGGCAGCAGUGGGGAAUAUUGCACAAUGGGCGCAAGCCUGAUGCAGCGACGCCGCGUGAGGGAUGACGGCCUUCGGGUUGUAAACCUCUUUCAGCACCGACGAAGCGCAAGUGACGGUAGGUGCAGAAGAAGGACCGGCCAACUACGUGCCAGCAGCCGCCGUAA
rnacentral:rRNA from 1 species